UUCACGCCUACCCUUAGCGGGGGAAAAGCGGCAUCCGAACCGCCUGGCGUGUUUUUCUAAUUCGGA
rnacentral:sRNA from 1 species